AAACUGUUUCUAAAAUAUUUGAAGCGACAACACCGGAGCUUAAGCGCCUGAGCCAUACGCGUAGUGUCAUCUGUCAAACGGCUUUUUGUUUAUAUUCGGGAGUCGUGUAUUUUCUCUAAUUUUUGGUUUAAAAAGGAAAAAGGCCACAUUUUAGUGUUUUUUUAAAUUGCUAGGAUGGCAAAAACUUGUGUCGUUUGUACCGCAUCAUGAUAAAAAGGCGAUUCAAGCCGAUCUUUUUACAAAUUGCCUAAUAUAUGCCCAAAGGGAACAAUGGAUUUCAUUAAUGGAAAUCAACACAAUUAAAAAGAACAUAUUUGUUUGUUCAGAUCACAUCCUUAGAAGUGAUUUCUUAUAUAAGGAAGAUAAUAUCAGUAGCCAGACUUUAUUAAAAAAAUCAGCUCUACCUCAAAGGAUUUCUGAUGCACUGGUUAAAAACACAGCAGCCGAUAAUUCAGUAAAUUUACCAAGUGAUUUACCCUUCAAAGCUGCAGGGGUAGCUUUCCUGAAGAGUGCAAAAACUUCUUUAGUUUCCAAAAUGGUAUAUAGUACAAACAAUGAAGCUAAGUAUGGAUAAUUAAAAUAGAUUAAUAUUCUUUAUACACCAAAUUUUGUAUAAUUACAGAUCUGAUCAUUCAUCAUCAACAAUAACUGCAUCUGAGAUUAAUAGUUCUACAGUAACCGUGGGGUCUAGGUCAACAAUUACUAUUUCUGAUCUAAGCCGUUUUUGUUUAACUGCUAUACAUUCCCUGACUGCCAAGGAAAAGGUAAAAAUACACUUAAAAUAGACUACUAGUUUUAAAAUCAAAUGAUAGGUAAAAUCAAAUGAUAUCCUGAGGACCUAAGCACUGACGAUUCCACCGUUUCAAAAGCUAAAUCACUUGUCACCAAAUUAUGAAAAAAAAAAUAAAGAACAAAAAAUUAAUAUUCGAAGAUUGCAACAAACAAAUUUGCGCCAAAGAAAUUGAAUUAGAUGUCUCAAGUCAUUAUUAAAAUACUUAAGAAAUAAUAAUAUGAUUUUCAAAAAGCCCAACAUAAUACAUAUUUUAUUUGACUUGUAAAAGUAUUUGUUUGUAUAUUAGUAUAUUACUACUAAUAAACUAUCUAAUCUAAUCUAUUGUACAUAGUCUUUAUUAGGUAAGCUUUGUUUUUUAGUAUAAAUUAAUAUGAUAUAAUUGGUAUUAGGUAUUAUAUGGGUCACUGUUAAAUGUCUCAAAACCAUUGUACAGGCUAAAUACUCAUAAUAAAAAUCUUAUAACCUAUAAAAAACCUGCAACUCCUUCACAAUUUGAACAUCCUUGUAGUUUUAACUCUUUCCGCUGAAGCAAUA